rnacentral:lncRNA from 1 species
UUGGUGCAGCACACGAAGAAGCGAGCAGCUGUUCUGCUUUUUCCGCAGGAACACGACACCUACCGAUGAAGAAAGUAUACCAGCUAUUUUGUUUCACUGGUUAACGUACAUCGUCCGCACACAUAUUGGUGGACAACAGUGCAAGUACCAUUAAUCUUUUCUCUUGACAUCCCCCAGCUCUUAGUACCAACAGGAGAAGACGCAGAAAGGCACUCGAUUGAAGAUGCUUUGGGGCUCCCUAUUUCUAAUCCUCCCAGCAGUGAUUUCACCGCACUGGGUGAAACCAUUGUUGUCCAACCGGAAGCAUCGGAUUCGUCUAAUGUGGUAGUCCCAUCAUCAGGCUCUGCGUCCACAAUUGUCAUCAAAAAAGAGCCACCGAAAGUGGUUGUAAUUAGCGAAGAACCAUCUCCGGUUAUCGUGAAAGUUCGAUGAUGGUCAUCGAACCUCGUAGAGACGACUGUGAUCCAGCGGCAGCAAGAUGACUGCUCUCCGACUGGACAACGCUGCACUUUACGCCAGAACGACAAUGAGAACACAAAGCAAGGGCUUAUGCACUUCGCGCCUUUGGAGGAAGAGAUAUUCCACCAACUAUAGUUCUGAUAAUGGACAUGGCGCUUCCUAACUGUGUCUAAAGUUGCCCUGAUAAUAUCGGAUUUGCAUAAAUGCCCAAUACUUUAUGGCAAUUUGACGACAAUUGUAGCAACCACCACUACGCACUUCAGCAGCCUCUUCUCUAAAGACAGACCUUGUCGAGCGAGGUGGCUCGGCAUGCCUGCCGAUCAUGCGGCUUCUCCAUAAUGAAUACAGUCCUACUAACAUAAACAAAUCAUAUGGUCUAUUACUGAUUGUCUUUUUGAAAGGAAGGAACCGUAUGCCGUGAAAUGUGAGAGGAAAUUCUUCUUGGAUAGUUCUUUGUAAAAUGUCCCGAAAAUAAAAUGCGUAACGACAAAGAAUAGAGCAAUGUUCUAUUUUCUUGGGGUUGGUUGCAAAGUCGACAAUUUGUAUUCCAGGGAUCAUAGAAUCCUUUUUCACGAAACCAUGUUUUAACUGGCAGGGUGGAAGUAUGCAGCUUAAAAAAAGUUUUCACUGCUGGCAUUAUACACAUUCUACGGACAUGGCAAAGAACACUUUGACCAAAU